AAUCAACGCUGGCGGCGUGCUUAACACAUGCAAGUCGAGCGGUAAGGCCCUUUCGGGGGUACACGAGCGGCGAACGGGUGAGUAACACGUGGGUGACCUGCCCUCAGCUCUGGGAUAAGCCUGGGAAACCGGGUCUAAUACCGGAUAUGACUCCAUGACGCAUGUUGUGGGGUGGAAAGCCCUGUGCGGCUGAGGACGGGCCCGCGGCCUAUCAGCUUGUUGGUGGGGNGAUGGCCUACCAAGGCGACGACGGGUAGCCGGCCUGAGAGGGCGACCGGCCACACUGGGACUGAGACACGGCCCAGACUCCUACGGGAGGCAGCAGUGGGGAAUCUUGCGCAAUGGGCGAAAGCCUGACGCAGCGACGCCGCGUGAGGGAUGACGGCCU
rnacentral:rRNA from 1 species